GUGAACGCUGGCGGUAGGCCUAGCACAUGCAAGUCGAACGGCAGCACAGUAAGAGCUUGCUCUUACGGGUGGCGGGUGGCGGACGGGUGAGGAAUACAUCGGAAUCUACUUUUUCGUGGGGGAUAACGUAGGGAAACUUACGCUAAUACCGCAUACGACCUACGGGUGAAAGCAGGGGAUCUUCGGACCUUGCGCGAUUGAAUUAGCCGAUGUCGGAUUAGCUAGUUGGCGGGGUAAAGGCCCACCAAGGCGACGAUCCGUAGCUGGUCUGAGAGGAUGAUCAGCCACACUGGAACUGAGACACGGUCCAGACUCCUACGGGAGGCAGCAGUGGGGAAUAUUGGACAAUGGGCGCAAGCCUGAUCCAGCCAUACCGCGUGGGUGAAGAAGGCCUUCGGGUUGUAAAGCCCUUUUGUUGGGAAAGAAAAGCAGCAGGUUAAUACCCCGCUGUUCUGACGGUACCCAAAGAAUAAGCACCGGCUAACUUCGUG
rnacentral:rRNA from 1 species